CACAGGCUGAGUGAGGAUUUGUUUAGCUGAACAACAGUAUCCGAGAGUAUUGAGCGAUCAAGUUUAGCUAAAGAGACGUCUAGGCUUGAAAAAACUAUUGAUUAUAUAUGCCCCCCAAAAUAGGGAAGCAUCAAUGCUCUGAAGAAAGAGGUGUCAAAAUAAAACAAAGACACCGUGAUAUAUAUAGAGAGAAGUCGGCGGACAGAAGAGAAUUAAACUUAAUGCAACAACGAAUGGUAUACCUUCAUUCUACCACACAUAAUCCUAUUGGUAAUUCCACCGAGGUACCAACUUCUUGCCAAUUUAGCAAAGAGCAGAUUGAGAAUACAGUUGGUGUAAGAGGAGCCUCAUCUUCUCUCUUGUACACAACAAAUGGGAACUCAGUUGAUGCUUCCGUUAUUUCUGAUAAUGGCAGAGAUAUAGGUAGUAGCUCAUGCGCUUUUGAAGUUGGUAAGCCUGGAACAAUGGUGUUAUUUGUAAUUUCUUUUACAUAUCCAAACUUAUGUGAUAAUUCAUUAUAUAUUAGGGUCCACCUCAGAAACGUGCACUGAACAAUACAACAUUACGUCACAUACAACAUCAUAGAAAGGUUUCUUUUCAUCUACCCUUCAAAUCAUUUUUGUCAUUUUUUCUCCUAUAUUUUCCUUUCCUAAAAUUUGAGAUAUACAGGUCGUAAAAAUAGAAUAUUGGGUCAUUGCAACACUAAUGAAUUGCCUAAUAGCUCUUUCAGACUCAAACCUGUAUCAAACUAUGAAUUUUGUAGAGCCAAAAGAUUUGAAUAUGAACCACCGGGAUUUUGUUGUGACAAUGUUUCAGUGAAAUUGAUUCACUAUGGAAUGCCUGCUGAAUUGCUAAAGCUUUAUUUAGGGAACUCUGAGGAAUGUGAAUAUUUUCGCACUUAUGUUAGAAUGUAUAAUAACAUGUUCGCAUUUA